rnacentral:rRNA from 1 species
GACGAGCGCUGGCGGCGUGCCUAAUACAUGCAAGUAGAACGCUGAAGGAGGAGCUUGCUCUUCUGGAUGAGUUGCGAACGGGUGAGUAACGCGUAGGUAACCUGCCUGGUAGUGGGGAUAACUAUUGGAAACGAUAGCUAAUACCGCAUAAUAACAGUUGUUGCAUGACAACUGUUUGAAAGGUGCAAUUGCAUCACUACCAGAUGGACCUGCGUUGUAUUAGCUAGUUGGUGGGGUAACGGCUCACCAAGGCGACGAUACAUAGCCGACCUGAGAGGGUGAUCGGCCACACUGGGACUGAGACACGGCCCAGACUCCUACGGGAGGCAGCAGUAGGGAAUCUUCGGCAAUGGACGAAAGUCUGACCGAGCAACGCCGCGUGAGUGAAGAAGGUUUUCGGAUCGUAAAGCUCUGUUGUAAGAGAAGAACGAGUGUGAGAGUGGAAAGUUCACACUGUGACGGUAUCUUACCAGAAAGGGACGGCUAACUACGUG